rnacentral:snRNA from 1 species
GUGCUCGCUUCGGCAGCACAAUAUAAAAUUGGAACAAUACAGAGAAGAUUAGCAUGGCCCUUACGCAAGGAUGAUGCAAAUUCAAGAUGCAUUCCAUAAAAAA